AACGAACGCUGGCGGCAUGCCUAACACAUGCAAGUCGAACGAGACCUUCGGGUCUAGUGGCGCACGGGUGCGUAACACGUGGGAAUUUGCCUCGGGGUAUGGAAUAACUCAGGGAAACUUGAGCUAAUACCAUAUAAUGUCUUCGGACCAAAGAUUUAUCGCCCUGAGAUAAGCCCGCGUAGGAUUAGCUAGUUGGUGGGGUAAAGGCUCACCAAGGCGACGAUCCUUAGCUGGUCUGAGAGGAUGAUCAGCCACACUGGGACUGAGACACGGCCCAGACUCCUACGGAGGCAGCAGUGGGAAUUUUGGACAAAUGGGGGGCAACCCUGAUCCAGCAAUGCCGCGUGAGUGAAGAAGGCC
rnacentral:rRNA from 1 species